CAUCCCCAGCCCAGCUCCAGGGAACUUUGCUCAGUGCUGCUCACAUCUACACCCUCUGUCACCUCAGGUUUCCCUUUGAGGUCCCCCAAACCUUACUAUCGUCCACAAGCCUGUGUAUGCUUCAUUUGUGUUACAACAUCCACUAAAACCCCAGUCAUGAGAAUAGAGAGAGAAACCCGAGAGUUGCUAAAGGGUUGGAACAUCCCAACCCCCCCCCACCUCCUAUUUGAUGUACUUUCUAUCUUGCUUUUCAGGAAAACGAGUGUGUGUCAGUAGGGGCGGGGGCGGGUAGUGGCAUUGCAAGACUAUUGUGAAAUAGUUUUCUCUGUCUGGCUGUUUCUGUUGGUUACCAAAAGAACUAAUCAAAGGGAGCCAGAGAGACAAAGGCAGUAUAUUUUUCUGAGUGAAAUAAAAGAAAGGAAGGAAGGAAGAAAGAAAAAGAAAGGAAAGAAGAAAGAAGACAAGCCAUAAAAUGACCCUGAGAUGCUCAAGAGGGAGCAGUAAGAAACAAAGUGCUUCUCUUGCCUUCAUGCCUCCAUGCUGGAUAUCCUCACUCCCAUCAGGAAAGAGAAGCCCAGCCAGGGCUGGAGAGGUUGAAGAAGGAGCGAGAAGCUGAGAAGUGGGAGUCUGGCCAUCUGGGAGGGACUGGGAAUACUUUCCACCCUGAGCAACGCUUCCUGGCAACGUCUGCCCACAGAGGGCUUGCCUGGUGUCCUCCCUUCCUCAGCCAUAGAGUCCUUUCCAAGGUUAGUAAAUCCUCCCUCUGUUUGUCCAAGCCAUUCCUUGUGAUUUGUUUUGGUUGGGGGGGGGGGCGAGGGCUGAAGUUGUGUUGCUGGGAAAUGGUCAGAAAUUGUGUGUGGGGACAGAGGCAUGGUCAUUUCUGACAACAGACACUGACUGUCAAUCACAUGUGCAGGCUCACUACAUGUAAAGCAGCUGGCAUCUCCUUACAAGGACUCCUAGGCGACGUUACGACCCCUAAGUACAGAAGAGCAAAUAGGAUUCAGAGAACUUAUGUGAAUGCCUCAAGUUGGCACAGCUCUACAGUGGAACAACCAGGUCCCAACCUGGGGUAGGACAUUUCCAGGUUAUCCACACUAACUUCUCCAUUUUGGAAAGCCAGUGCAUGAUGACCCAAGAUCUUGCAUCUCUGUGGCAGGCCUCUGGGACCUAUCACAGAACUGUAGUAUUAAAACCUAAAGAUUGAGAAUUAGGGCAUGUGUCAGAUUUCCCUAAAAGCUAUGAGAGUACUGACACAGCAAUGCUGUGGUUUGACUCUCAAAUGUCCCCCCCCCCAAAAAAAAAAACCUAUGUGCUGAGGGCUUGUCAGCAAGCUGUGAGCUUUUAAGGGGUGAUUGGAUCUCAUGGGUUAGUCUGAUGGUGUAUUCACCACUGAAUGAGAUUCUGAGAGGUGGUGGAUACUGUUGAACAAAGGAUCCCAUUGGAGGAACUAGGUGUCAGAGGCAUGAGUUUGUGACCAUUCUUGUACCACCGCUCUCCUCUCUCCAUCUCUUGCCUGCCAGGAGGUGGACAACUUUCUUUGACACCUGCUUCCAGCAUGGUAUUCUGCCUCUCUAGGACCCAGGAACCUGGAACCAAAUGAUGAUGGACUGAAACCUUUGAAACUAUGAGCAAAAGGAACUCUUUUCUCCUUUAAGCUGUUUUUCUUAAAUAUGUUGCCACAGUGACCGAAAGCUGGUUAACAAGCAAGAUUUUUUUUUGUUGUUGGUACUAGAUAACUUUUUUUUUAUUAGUUCAAAUAAGAAACAAGCUUGCUUCACAUGUCAAU
rnacentral:lncRNA from 1 species